rnacentral:lncRNA from 1 species
CUACCACUCAAGACAGUGAUCUGGACGGACAAUAAGCUUCUGGAGACACACAACAAAUGCCAUAACUUGACCACACGGAAGGAUUCAGCUUUUCCUACCAAACAAGAGAAGUUUUCUGAAUCCUUUGGUAACUUUAAGAGAGCUUUCAUCAGUUAUCCAUUUUCUUCUUGUGUUAUUUGCCUCGAGGUUCAUUUCAUUAUUUGGAGGAGGCGUAGAGACUUCAUUAGUCAGGAUCUCUUGGCAUUCUUUAGGCUCCACAUUUAUGUUACUGUCCUCAUGCAUUUUGGAAGCAGAGGAAGUCAGAGGAUUGACGGGCGAUGGAUUACCAUUCACCUGAGGACUUACUCCAACAACAUCAUCAACAGCUGCUGAGCUUUCAACUUCAGAUAGUACAAACCUUACCUUGUUAGAACUUUGUUUCUUUUCAUCUUUCAAAUGUUCAGCAGAAAGCAAAGGUAUAUUCUUCUUCUCAUUUAAUGAUAUGCUAUGUACCUCCUCCGUGUUCUUAGCAUCAACAGUAUCAUUAGAGAACUGUGGUCUUAGUUCAGAUCCGCGUUCAUUUGACAUCAACAUUAUGUCAUCCUUACCAUCUUUUACCUUCUGAGAAUCAAAUGCAGAAUAAUCUUUUAAUUGAACAUUUGUAUCCGAAGGCUUGACCUGAUAACUUUUUGAACCUGAAGGCUUGAUCUUACGUGGACCUUUCUUACUCUCGUUUCCAGCUGACUUCUGUAAUGGAGCAAUCACUUUAUUCUCCUUUUGACUUGCUUUCCUACUUGGAGUAGUUUUUGACUCAAUUGAUCGAUCCUUAGAUGUCCUUGUAGCUGAAAGGCGAUCUAUAGUGGAACUCUUACAAACUGGUUUAUGUAAUCUAUUGGUUGCCUCAGUUGGAGCCUCAGGUUUUGGCUUCUCAACUUUUGAAGAUGUGGCUGACUCUUUUGCAUUCUUCCUUGUGGUUGGUUUGGUAAAACCAGUGGUACCACUUCUUUCUGCAAUUCUCUUUUGACGCUGCAAUAGUGAUUGUUCCAAUCUCUUUCUAGUCUCUUCGUCCUGUAACAUAGAGAAAUUUAAAGAAAAAUAAUAGUAACAAUGAUAGAUGAAAAGAAUAGGAAAACCAUCACUUGGAAGAGGGGAUUUAAGUAUUUCUUUUCCUUCUCCUUUUUAAGAUAUGAUAUGUUCAUAUCAAGCAGCUAAAUGUCAUGAAAUUUCUACCCAUACUAGAAAUUGAAUGUUCAUCUUCCUCUCAAACGACACAUUUUUUUAAAAAGAUUUCACCAUAAACAUAACCGAUCCAGCAAAUUGAGUGAAAUUGAAUUAGACUGAUAAAAUAGAGAUACAAGGUGGACAAAAGUAGAUUUUUAUUAGAAAAAAGGUUUCACCAUAAACAUAACCGAUCCAGCAAAUUGAGUGAACAUGAAUUAGACUGAAAAAAUAGAGAUACAAGGUGGACAAAAGUAGAUUUUUAUUAGAUGUCCAUGCACUCCAGUAUAGAGACUGUCCGUACCUUCUCAGCUUUGCUCUUUUGCAACGUUAUUCUAUUACUUGCAUAAGGAGAUUUCUUGAUUCAUGAAGAUAUCUCAGAUUUGGUCCUUCCAAGAGAUCCAACUGAAGCUUUAGAUUUUGGUUGUUUGCUAACUCCCUUUCGCUCAAGGUCCUUGCCGAUCUUUUUGGUUUCUUCACCAUUUUGUGGAAGCUUCAUAUCAGUUGGUCUGACAUCAGUGUGAAUUUUAAGAGUUUCAGACAAGAAGACAUCAUUUUCGUAAUCUAUUUCAGGAUUCCAAGAAGCUGAAACUUGCUCAGCAGUUGAAGCCCUUUUAAGCACCAUGAAAAGGUCAUUUGGUUCACAUGUAUCAGAAGCAUCAAGCUUAUCUUCUACUACAUGAUUAGGCAUGCUGUUCUUAACUUGUUCAGC